UGUGGGCCCGAGGAUGCACAGAUAUCUAGCAGAGUCGACAGGCAUUUAGUCUACUGUUCGAGGUCAACAAAUAAAGGUCCAGUUUCGGCGAAAAUAAAAAUGUCUUAUAGCCAGUGUCUAUACUGCAAACAACGGUCUGAGUCCAUGGGUAGGGAUACACGUGCACUUAAAACAGUCCCACCAG
ensembl:misc_RNA